rnacentral:rRNA from 1 species
CGAUUCCCUUAGUAACGGCGAUUGAAGAGGGACAAGCUCAAAGUGCUAAUCAGUGCAUUGCACUGAAUUGUGGCCUCUAGAAACGACACCAGUGGCAUUGCAGAGGUAAAUCUCCUGGAAAGGAGUAGCAGAGAGGGUGAGACUCCCGUCUUUACUCUGCAGUGUGCCGCGUAUCGGUGCGUUUUCUCUGAGUCGAGUAGCUUGGGACUGCUGCUCAAAAUUGGUGGUAAACUUCAUCUAAAGCUAAACAUUGGUG